rnacentral:rRNA from 1 species
UACGUAGGUGGCGAGCGUUAUCCGGAAUGAUUGGGCGUAAAGGGUGCGUAGGCGGCCUGCUAAGUCUGGAGUGAAAGGUACCGGCUCAACCGGUACAGGCUCUGGAAACUGGCGGGCUAGAGAGCAGGAGAGGGCGGUGGAACUCCAUGUGUAGCGGUAAAAUGCGUAGAUAUAUGGAAGAACACCAGUGGCGAAGGCGGCCGCCUGGCCUGUUGGUACUGACGCUGAGGCACGAAAGCGUGGGGAGCAAAUAGG